UUAAAGGGGCAUCAGUGGUCCUGCCAUGCACAUACCAGUAUCCAUGGAAGGACACGUAUCAGAGAGGAGAGUGGUAUGAAGAACAGAGAGGGAGAGUCAGAGAACAUAGCAGCUCUAAAUAUCCUGACUGCAGCCUGAACAUGGACAACCUUUCAGAUGAAGACUCUGGUGUUUACCAGUUUCGGUUUCAGACAAACCUACACAGCAGCUGGAUAACUGCCAAUUCUGCUGCUAUACUCUCAGUCACAGAUCUGCAGGUGAAGGAGGAGACUGUUGAAGAGAAUCAGAAUCUCAUUAAGGUGAGCUGCAGCACCUCCUGCAGUUUGGGCUCUCAGUAUGUCUGGUACAAGAAUGGACAGACUCUAGAACACAAAACCACAGCCUCCAUGCAACUAGACUCAACCAGACCCUCAGAGGAGGGAAGUUACUCCUGUGCAGUGAAAGGUCACCGCUCCCCUGCAGUGUGUGUUCCAGCUGAACAGUGUUGGGGUGUGGCCUACUCAUCUAACAGCAUCUGUAGAUUGAAGGGUUCAUCUGUGGAUAUUUCCUGCACUUACAAAUAUCCCAGAGAUCAAAGUAUCAACACAACAUUCUGGUUUAACCAUCAAAAAACAAGCAAUCACCCUAUAGACCUACAUUUGGAUAAAGACUAUCAAAACCACACAGAAUAUAUUGGGAUUGAAAGGAAUAAUUGCACCCUGACACUGAAAGACAUCAGAGAGAGUCACUGGUGAAUACAGCUUCAGAUUUAUAACAGGACUGGGGCAGGGUUUCUCUGGAUUACCUGGAGUCACCA